GGUUGCAACAAGGCAACGUCAAAGGGUCCUUCGAGCUCUCCUUGGCACCGCGACACGCG
rnacentral:rRNA from 1 species